GACGAACGCUGGCGGCGUGCUUAACACAUGCAAGUCGAACGGAAAGGCCCUGCUGUUGUGGGGUGCUCGAGUGGCGAACGGGUGAGUAACACGUGAGUAACCUGCCCUUGACUUUGGGAUAACUUCAGGAAACUGGGGCUAAUACCGGAUAGGAGCUCCUGCUGCAUGGUGGGGGUUGGAAAGUUUCGGCGGUUGGGGAUGGACUCGCGGCUUAUCAGCUUGUUGGUGGGGUAGUGGCUUACCAAGGCUUUGACGGGUAGCCGGCCUGAGAGGGUGACCGGCCACAUUGGGACUGAGCUCCGGCCCAGACUCCUACGGGAGGCAGCAGUGGGGAAUAUUGCCCAAUGGGCGGAAGCCUGAUGCAGCAACGCCGCGUGCGGGAUGACGGCCUUCGGGUUGUAACCCGCUUUCGCCUGUGACGAAGCGUGAGUGACGGUAAUGGGUAAAGAAGCACCGGCUAACUACGUG
rnacentral:rRNA from 1 species